AGUGAACGCUGGCGGUAGGCCUAACACAUGCAAGUCGAACGGCAGCACAGGAGAGCUUGCUCUCUAGGUGGCGAGUGGCGGACGGGUGAGGAAUACAUCGGAAUCUGCCCAGUCGUGGGGGAUAACGUAGGGAAACUUACGCUAAUACCGCAUACGACCUUCGGGUGAAAGAGGGGGAUCGCAAGACCUCUCGCGAUUGGAUGAGCCGAUGUCGGAUUAGCUAGUUAGCGGGGUAAUGGCCCACUAAGGCGACGAUCCGUAGCUGGUCUGAGAGGAUGAUCAGCCACACUGGAACUGAGACACGGUCCAGACUCCUACGGGAGGCAGCAGUGGGGAAUAUUGGACAAUGGGCGCAAGCCUGAUCCAGCCAUACCGCGUGGGUGAAGAAGGCCUUCGGGUCGUAAAGCCCUUUUGUUGGGAAAGAAAUCUUUCAGGCUAAUACCCUGGGAGGAUGACGGUACCCAAAGAAUAAGCACCGGCUAACUUCGUG
rnacentral:rRNA from 1 species